GGAUGUGAGGGUAACCUGGAUGAGAUGACUGUCACCCCGUUGACCACCUGUUUGAUUUGAAUGAUAUGGCUAGCUGGGCAAGUGUCCGUUUUUCCUUCAAUGUCCAUGUGAGUCUCUCCAGAAGCUGUGCCUCAGGUAGAAGAGGCCUUCUCAUAUAGAGAAGUCUUUGGUCAAGGGUUUACCAGUAGCUGUUUUCCCAUAAUACAAUUCCAGACAAAGCAUGAGAACCCUCUUU
rnacentral:sRNA from 14 species